CUAUUUCUUUUAUUUAUUUAUGUACUUAUAUGUUUAUUCAUUUAUUUCUUUAUUGAUCUCAAAUUUGUUUAUUAUCUUGUGUCAAAGAAAUAUUUAUAGGUCCAAAGUCCUACUUCAAUUAUGGAAUUAAAAUUGAUCCGACAAUGGAGGUUUUGAUGUGCAACGAUGGAUUUGAAUUUCUGUUGCGGUGGAAGAAGGAUUGACCUAUAAGGUUAACAUUCAAACGCUCGAGUCAGUAUGUAAACAAGGUGAGUGAAUAAAAUGUGAAUUUAAAAUUGCCACGUGAAAUUGGCACAUGUGUUUUUUAUACAGUGGAACAGUUAUAACAAGUCGUUAUUCUCCUGGUGUGAGAUGUGGGAAAUUGUCGGAUAUAUCCUACGUGUGGAUCUCAUAUGUUCUUCCUCAUGGUAACCCUCUUGCGCUGCGAAUGCUUUGGGUGAAUAGAUGUUUUUUCUAAGUUGCAGUUGAUGGCCCUUAUGGCCAAUCUAGAAGAGUUGCCCCUCAAGCCCUCGUAUCUGCUUGACAGUGCGAGGGUUUGUCGUAUUAGCCUCGUUCAUGUUGGUUAUACCUUGGUUUAAGUGGACUGUCGAGAGGUGACGUUAUUGUUAUCGGGGAAUUCACGCCUUUAAUGCCCCUCAUGCCUCGGACGUCUUUUCGUAGGUUUCAUCAUAAUGGUCUUUGGGAACUUAAACACUCAAUUGACUUGUUGAGGUGAUCUAGAGUGUUGAUAGCGCUUGUUGCUUUUAGUAAGUUAUCACACGAUUUCUAAAGAGUCAGCAUUUCAUUUUUUGAGGCAUUAUUUUUGCUUCUUUGUUACUUUCAUUUUCUGCAACGCUUUUUCCCUUCUAUAAUUGAAAAAAGUAGUGCCCUCAAUGAGUCGGAAAUCAAAAGAAGACAUUUUUGUCUCCUGGGUUGACCAUGUCUCUUCAUCAAUUGUUUCUAUCUUUAUUCAAGAGGAUAGUCUAGACGGAGCCUUUUUAGACAUAGGUCUAUCUUUGGAUUGGCGCGUAUAGACCAUUAAUGAAGACAACGGGAUAUGUAGCAAGUAUGGAAAAUGUAUCAUUCAUUUCUAUAAAUACACCCUCUCAAUCUUGGGUUUCUGGUUUCACUUUAACAACUUUGAAAUAGAAGUUUUGAAUCACUUGAUGGUUUCCCCCCACCCCGCAAUUGCACCCUGCGAGCAAGAUAUAUAUUAAAGUUUUCUAGUACUCGUGCAAAUGUCAAACGGGGUAACCUUUUUUGUCCCUUUUCUUCCACCUCUUCAAAGUACAUUGUAGUUCUGCAGUCCAUGUGCAGGGCUAUGGCUUGAUUAACCUGGUGUAGUUUGUUCGCGACUUUGAAUCCUUUUUGAAGAGCCUAAAGAAUUUCAAAAAUUGAUUCUUCUUGAUUGUUCCUCUUUGUAUAUAGGUUCAUGCAAUGGUAUGUACCGUAGGGACUAGCGUGAAUGACAUGUUUACCGACUUGUUUCCCAAGUACUGGAACAAAUGUCAUUUCCUGAUGAGGAAUGGGUUGUAUGUCUACAAGGAAAACAUUUUAUCUCGGGAUGAACUUUAUCUGAAGAGACUGUUGGUUGCUUUUGUCAAAGAGUUGGAUCAUGUCAGGGGUGUCACCCCUCAGAACGAGGCUUCACGAAAAUGUUUUAAACGACUUACUAAAACCUAUUUGCAAAUGGAUGCCCGCACCAAGGAGGAAAGGAAAGUCAUUUUUGUGAGUUUCAAAUACAUUUUGCCCCUUGCAUUCAAUACAACUAUGCUUAAUGCUCUUACGUUUGGUAAUUACUAUUUAUAGAUUCGGCGUCUACCUCGGAAGAAGAUUGAUCUUACUUGGCCAACCUAAUUGGUGGGGCUCUCAAGGAAGAGCUAUCAAAUAUGGUGUAAUAUACCCGAAGUACUUUUGUCGUUCUGGCCAUUAGCAGCACCAGUCAUUGGGAUGCCUUUCUAUAUAAAUAGUGACAAGUGAAGAGGUGGCAUUUAUGGGAAAGUAUUUGUGGUCAAUGCUUCAACAGGAUAUAUACCUGUAAGAAUUACAUAAAACUUUUGUUUCUUUUACCAAUGUAAGUGAUGACUUAUGUUCCCUCGAUCACCCUGCCUCGUUAGUCAAUCAGGUAACCUUUUUGGUGAGGGUGUAUCAAGGAAGGAUAAAGCUUUGGCCUCUAUGCGGGCGACUGUAUUUGCUACACACACGUCCCUUUCUGCAGUUCAAGGAGGCCUUGGAAGCCUGCAUCUUGAGAAUGCUUCCUUGGUUUUGAGUUUAAAUUAGUCAUUUGUUGCUAGUAUCAUGGUCGUUUAUGAGUCCUUUGAUAACACUCUUUAGUGUGUAGAGCAUUUUCACUCUCUUCUAGGUAUUUUCAGGGUACAAUUACGGAUGCACCAGAUGCUCAAAUAAGGAAAGAUCGUCUUUUUUAGGGAUUACUGACCUCUUUCUUCUUUUUUUUAUGAAAUAUCAUGCCCUAUGAAGUGUGAGUGAAAUGAAAUAUAUGUUGUGUCAUUGUUUUUACCUGUUUAAGGCAUAUAUACUUUCUGAGUAAAUUUCUCCAAAUUUUGCAUGAAUUUAGGAGGUAUUCCCCCAAAGUGGAUAAGAAUGGAUACCCCUCCCCCUAGGUGAAACCUGGUUCGAGGUUGGCGUGUGGCCAACCCACCGCGGCUUCUGAGUGGCUAGCUACCAAAGGGAGGUAGACCGCUAUUGUCGUUUUAGUGGUUUUUCUAUUUUCAUUGUGUGUGUGUGUGUGUAUGUUUUACAUUGUGGGGUUUUCAUUGAUAUAGUUACAUGUUCAGGUCGUUUGCAACAGCACCCUUGAGUCUUUGUGUUGAGGGUUUCAAUCCAUUCGAUGGUACCCCAGACUCAUCAUUACCUUAUAUGAGUACAAAGAAAAGAAAUAUUUUCAGAAUUUGCGAUUUCUUCAUUAAUAAUUGGGAGUUCACAAUACACUUUAAUAAAGAAUUAGUUAUACGAGAAAUAACAUUAAAUAUAAAUUUGAAAACAUAACCAAGUGAACAGACCAUCGCUUGUUCUCCCUAUUUCACAUCUUAUUAGGUUAGCCACUUUUUGGAGGUCAGAUCUUUAUAUUCCUCAAUUGGCCAGUUAGGGAGGCUAUUUAAUCUCCAUGACAUCAAUAUCCCCAGGUUAUGCUAGAGCAUUUGGUAUAUCAUUUUUGCUCCUUAUGGCCGAUUCAGUGUGAAGGUUGGGAAAUUUGAGUUUGAGAUGGACCAGUGAGGCCAUGGCAUCAAGGGCAUUUGCAAAGGUUUUGUCGAGUAUGCAAUUGUAGACACUCUUAUAAGGGACUACAAGGGAUUAUGAGUUCACAAACCAUAUUCCUUUUGCUUCUUCUAUAUAUAUCAUCAAUUCGACAAUACCCCCACAUGCGGGUGGUCAUGCCCGUCAAUGCCUGUAAGUCUGACCUUUUGUAUGGUCAUAAACUUUAUUUCUUGAGGCCAAUCUUCUCAAACAACUCUGAAUAUAUUAUGUCGCAUGAUUUGACACUAUCGAUCAGGAUCUGGGAGACAUCGAAAUUCCCGACCAUAGCAGUUAUGACUAGGAGGAAGAUCUCGUUCGAGGUCCCCCCCCCCUCUCUAUUUUUCUUACAAUCCUGAAACCCGGGCAUUGGCCUAUAUGGGGUCUGGGUUAAUGUUCCAUCUUACUUCUUAUGGACAAUCAUCAAUUCAAUGAUUUUCCACUUCAUCAUCCCUUUGGACAGGAUGUUCACAUGUAGUGUGCCUCUAGUAAUAGAAGAAAUGUGUUGGCACUUACCCUUGCUUACUCCUUUAUCUUUGUAGUUGGUUCAGUCUUACCUGGUCAAGGUAUCUACAGCUUUGGAGGAAUACUUUCUCUUGGGCGAUUCUUGUCUACCUCUUUUCGCCUUAGACAUACUCAGAUAAACGGUCCCUCUUUAUCAAACCUUUACCUGUAUCCUACAACUGUAUAGAAUCGCCGGUGUUGUGAUUGUGGCCUUUGUGGAAAUGAUAGUAUUUCGUUUUAUCAAUUCAGGAUGACUCCCUGAUGAGGAAGGGGUUUCUGACUCCGCCUUUCCAAAACUCCGUGUUGGCAUACUCUUGGUAAAUCAUAUCUCAAAAAGUGUUCAAAGAAGUGUACUUAUCGUAUCGACCAAGGGUUCCCCAGUUGGAUUCAUCCUUCUGUACAUAUGAGUCUUUCCCAAACAAUCAGUUAGAGCCUAUAUUUGCUAUGAUUGGAUUGUUGAACCAAGCAUUAAAUUUCUCCUCCAAGUUAAUGAAGGGUUGUGCCAUGCUCAGUAUUUCUUUCACACUAUGAUCCUCCCCUACAUUCUAACUUCUGCCUGAAGGAACUAUCAUGGAACGGGUUGUUCUCAAAAUCCAUCAUUUGAGACCUUCUUCAGCUCCUUUUACUUCCAUUACUACCUGAGUGAAACGGUCGAUAUAUGACCGCGAGCUUUCUUUCUUCCCAUAUGUUAUCCUUCUCAGGACAACUAUUGUCAUUGGUUAUCUCUUUCGAUUAGUGAAGUGUGUGAUGAAUCUCUCCAAUACAUCAUUCUAAGACUCAAUGCUUUCAUCUGGAAAGGCUUUGAACCAGAGCCUGGUGAAUCCUAUUAGAGUGAGUGCAAAUAGUUUUCACUUAGCUGCCUCAUUGGUGUGGAAGUAGUUCAAUAUUCAUCGAUGAGUUAUACAUGCUUGUUGGGAUCUCCCUUCCAGUUAUAUUCAGUCAAUUUUGGAGGUUUAUCCAAUGAUUUUGGUAUUUGGUUAUCCAAAAUACGAGCGCAUAUGGGAGGCUUAUGCGGGUUCCUUACCGAAGGCUUACCACUUGUUCCUCAAUGAGAACAAAACUCCCCCGACGUCCUCCUGGAGUGUGAGGAGGAGUUUGUUUCCUCAUGCUUCUAUGGUAGUUUUGAGAUCUCAUAGCUAUCUCUCGUUAUAACAUGGUCGGAUCAGGGAUGAUUUUUUGGUUUCGCAUGGAAAUGGUUACAUGGACCAUGUUUCCCUUACGAGGGUUGUUAUCCAAGCUUACUUCCAAACAAAAUAGUCUUUCCUCUAUACAUAUUGUUCAGCAAAUCAUUUGCAUAUUGUACUUUGAGGUUAGCCUGCAACAACUGGAAACUAGAUAAUGUGCAGGUCCUAAGGGUGGUGCUGGAACUAGAGGCCUAAUCGAAGGCUGCCUUGUCAGAGCUUUGAAUCUCCUAUGAUCAUCCUCAGGGUAACCCCAUUGUGUUGUGAGUGCUUUGGAUGAAUAGUUGCUUCAUAUGGGUUGUGGUCGAUGGCCUUUCUGGUCGGCUCAGAACAAAUAUCAUUAAAUCGAACACCGUCAUUCUGAUUCAAAUUUGAUUUUUGAAUAGUUGUUCCAUUUUAUUGGAUGUUAGUUGUAAUAAUGAUGUGAUAUUUCCUUUAAAAGUGAAAUUUAAGUAUAACACCAUACAACAAGCUGUAUAAUUAUGGUAUCACUCGAUCCAUGUUUGAAGAUGAUACAAAGGAUUCAAUAUUGAUGAACAAAUUGCAAGUGACCUUGAUUUGUGUAUCAAACAUAAAUAAGAAUUAUAUUGAAUUCAAGUACAAAACUUUCCAUUAUAGGACAAGAAAUAGUUGAUGAUAUAGUGAAAUAGAGUUUAGAUGUGGUAGAGUGUGUUUUCAAUACGGCGGAGCAGGUGGAUCUACAAAGUUAUCACUUCAACACCCAAGUCAGUGCAUAAAUUAGAAGUAGUUUCAGUUUGAGAGUGAAUAGAAUACUUAGGUCUAACAUGUGCACAUAUUUAUAUAGUUUUCAAAGUUAGAGUUGCUUCCACUUUGUUAGUCGCUUCACGGGAUCACCGACUUAUUAGAUCGAACUGUAGGAAGUUAGAGAGAAGUUAAAAUUAUGUGUUCUGCUCUUGAGCGAGGUUGCACGUGUUCCUCGCACAUUUCCUCGUGGUGCUUGUGAUUGGGCCUUUAUGUGUGGUUCUAGUGAGCGACCCAAAAUAGUUUCCCUCAAACCCUUGUUUCUGCUUACAUGUGUUGGACAAAUGACUUCAAGCACGAGAUGGGGUGAAUUUAGGAACUCAAAUUCGUGAUUAGUUUAGAGUUUUUAGUACUUAAAAAUCAAAUUGUGUUAGUAUUUUUUUAAGAUCAGAAUAAAAAGCAUUGAAAAGUAAAAGUAGUAAAGUAAAUAGCAGAAAUUAAAAGAUAAUGGUUAGAGAGAUAACACCUGCGAAUUAUCCAAGUUUGGACGAACGUUACUCCUGUCCCAAUAGAUCUUCUUGAGAUUUCACUAUAAUAUAUAGUAUUUAAUGAUUUUUUUACCAUAAACCUUUUAUACAAGCAAAUCAGGAGAUUUCACACUAGUUUAUCCCAACCGAAAAUGAGAUUUUCCACUAGUCAAACUCACGAACCGAGUAGAGAUUUUACACGAUGAUCUCAAUAACCAAGCAAAACUUUUCGAGGCCGAGUUCAAUAACCAAAUAGAUAUUAUCAAAUAAUUUAUUUCAAGAACCAAACUCAAUUCUUCAAGAUUAUUGCACUCUUGAAAAUAAAAACAAUGGAACGACAUCAGUACACCUUUUUCCUCACAAGUAGUUUUUCACUCAGAAGGUAAAUAUGGUGAACAUAAAAUAUUUAAAAAGAGGGAGAAGUGAGAUACAUUGAGAAUAAAUAGAUAAAUCAUGAAUUCUAGUGUGAAAUAAAGUGACGAAGAUCCUUAUUUAUAUAGUAAAAAGUUUGGCUCAAAAAUGAAACAAUCCAUGGGCCAAUUAACUCACCUAAUUGAUUAGGUCAUAAGUCUUAUCAAUUAGGUACUUAAAAUAUCAAUGAUUUGUGCCUAAUAUGGAAAUUUUGAAUAAAGAGUUUUUACCAAUCAUUGAGAAACUAUCAUAAUCUAGUAUUCAAUUAAAUAUGCUUCAUCUAAUCGAUUAGCCUUAGGAUCUAAUCAAUUAGGUAGCUCAAAAAAUCUUCUAAAAAGAGACUUCAAAUUUUGUUUAGUAUAUACGUAAGUUUUAUUAGUAUCUUAGGAGUUACUCUCCUAUGUUUACAAGACUCUGGUCACUCAUACGAACACAACCAUGCGAGCUUUCAUAACUCCAAAGAUUUCAUGCUCUUCCUUUGCCAAAUUUUCCAAUAUGAUAAACACUCUACUGGAGCCUUGAAUCUUAUAUUUGAUGAGACUUGAGAUAUCUCCAAAUUAGUCACCAUCAUCAAGUAGUUAGAAAUAUAUCACCAAUAUUAUCAUGUAGCAUUGUUGUCUUCAAAACAUCAUAAUAGUUUCCAACAUCAGGAUCACCAACUUCAUACAUGCAAGCACAUAAAUCCAUAGUCUCCCUUUUUUUAUGAUGACAACACAUCUCUCGUGGAGGUGGUAAAAUAAAAACGGGUAGUAACAUUUGCAAUAAUUAAGCUCCCCCUCACAUGAGUAGAGAGUAUACUCUACUCCCCUUGAGAGUAUACUUCUCUUUCUUUGGCAUAAUAAAAAAUGAAGUAAACAAUCAAAGCACAUAGAUCACAUAUUAUAAUUUUGAGAUACAUAGGCAUGCUAGUAAAUGCAUGAUUUGCUUCAAAUUUAUAGUUUAGUUCUAAUGAAAAAAGAAACUUCCUUUAGGAAUUGGUUUAGUAAAAAUGUCUAUAAGUUGAUUAGAUGAGGUCAUAAAGUCAAGUAUUCAUUUCUGUUUUUCAACAUGAUCCAUAAUAAAGUGGCGUCUAACCUUAAUGUAUUUAGCCCGAGAGUGAAGUAUCAUUUUCUAGUGAAGUUUGUGGCGCUAGUGUUGUCGCAUCUUAUCGGGACAACUACAAUAUAAACACCAUAAUCGCUGACUCGUUGUUUCAUCCAGAUAAUGUGAAGAAAUAGCUACCCACGAUAAUGUAUUCUGCCUCAAUUGUGGACAGUGUGACACUUCCUUGUUCUUGUUAUGCCAUGAUACAAACGUGUUUCCAAGUAAGUCAUGUGUUUUCCUAUCCAAUCCGCACAAAUUAAAAUCAGAGUAGAUGUACCCAACCAAGUCAAAAUUCGGUCCAUUGGGGUACCAUAAACCCAUUUAUUGUGUGUCAAUAAGAUAUCUCAUUGUGAAAGACACAUCGGGAACCAAUCACUAUAUUAGCUAAAACUUUGAUAACGAGUUUCCAAACUUUAUUUCGUUCAAAUAAAUUUAAUUAUUCUUGCAUGGCUAGCGACCAAUGUUCAUCAGUGAUACCUUCGACAAUUUUAUUUGGCUUGACUUGUGAAACAAAAGCCAUAAAGUCAAAUACAUUAUUAAGGGAUCAUCGAGUAGUGAUUCCCUUAGAGAUGUCUCUGAUGACAUUUUGAAUAAGAUGGUCUUUUUCCGCCCUCCAUUGUUUUGGAAGAUCUUUAUGAUUCGAAGAAGUAUCUAUGUUUUGAUGUUGAACAGGUUCUUCAUAUAUGACUUGAUUCUAAUUUUUACCUUGUUCUGCUUCUUGAUCGUGUUCUUCCAGAUUUGUCAUUUCCAAAAUAUCUUCACAAUCAAAUACUUCUACUUCUAAUGAUUUAAGGUUAGUUUCAUCAAAACUAAAAUGAAUCGGAUUUUUAUAUUCUUAGGGUUCUUCGUUAAGUACUCUAAAAGCUUUGCUUGAAGUGGAAUAUCCUAUGAAUAUUCCUUCAUCAGUUUUUGUGUCAAAUUUUCUAAGGUUAUCUUUCGUGUUAAUAAGGAUAAGCAUUUGCAUCCAAAGAAAUAUAGAUGAGAGAUAUUCAGUUUUCUUCAUUAAUAUAGUGUAUAUGGCUUCCGCUUUAGAAUUGGUCUAAUCAAGACGUGAUUCAUGACAUAGCAAGCAGUGUUUACUGCAUCAGCCCAUAAAUAUUUAGAAAGAUUUGUCUCAAUUUUGUUGGGGAGUUCAUGAAGUGGAAAAGGUAUGUUGAAUACUAUUCUUGUUGCAAAUUUUUUUGAAUUCCUCAUUUUGGAAUUCUCCACUGUGGUCACUUCUAAUGGAUUCAAUGCUUACUCCUUUUUCAUUAUGGAAAACCUUGGCUAAUUUUCAAAAGGCACCAAACACGUCUCUUUUCUAAGAUAAGAAUAAUGUCCAGGUGCAGUGAGAGUAGUCAUCCAAAUUACAAGGGAGUAGGCAUUUCCAUCGGUCAUAUGCUUUAAAUAGCCGCUAUUAAGGUAUCACGUUCAUUGCACCUGACAGAUUCAUCUUCCUCGUUAAAAGUGGAAGAGUCUUGGACUGGACCAUUUUGUCUCUUUCUUCUUACGAAGGCGAAAAAGAUCAUGAUAAGAGAAAUAAAAAGUUACCUCAUCGUCUUGAUGAUUUUCCAAAAUAUAUAUGUUGGCUUCUUCUUCAUCAUAUGACGAUUCAAAAUUGUUAUCUCUCAUGCAAUAUUGACAUCCAGUAAAGAAAAAGAAAAGUUUCUUCUACAACAGGUCUUGGAGUUUAUAACUCCUUCAACAAGUUUAAAGACUCAGACAAGGAAAUUUUGGUAAGGUCGUAUGAAGAUUGAUGCAAACAAAAUAUUAGAGUGCUUUGAUUAUGAAAAAAAGUGGUUCAAUUCAAGAUUGAAAAUCCUGAAGGAUUUGCAGACUAUUGAUUUGUGUACAGUGUGAAAUCAAGAUUCUCAAUGGAAGAUCUUUUGUUUUGAUGAAGACAAAUCAUACAUGACAAGAAGGAAAAGAUGAUAUUCAAGAUAAAGCAUCAUGUGUAAAGACUUUGAUUCAAGCUAUGGAUUCUUUGGAAUAGGUAUAACAAUAAUUACCAAUUACUUAAAGUUUUAGAUGCUCAAAAAAUCAAACCACAAAAUUGCAUAGCAUACUCUUUCUUAAAUCUCAAGUUUCCUAAACAAAAAAUGCAUUUUCACUAAGUGUAAAUCGAUUUACACUUACUGUAAAUCGAUUGCUUGCUGAAGGUUUUUACAUGCGCUUCUGUUUUUGCUUGUGUAAAUCGAUUUGCACAAUAUAGCAAUCGAUUUGCACUGAAGGUUUUUUGAAUUUUUUUGACUGUUAGAAGAUGUGCAAUCGAUUUGCACAAAGGUGCAAUCGAUUGCUUGCUGAACGUUUUUGAAAAACAGCAUCUUUUCAUUACACCUUCUCAAACACCUUUUCAUUAAAACCUUUCCUUUAAUCUUGGCAAUGGUUCAUGAUUAAAAUACAGAAACUUGUGAUAUUUCAAGAGGUGUUAUGAACAUCUAUAUAUACUCAAAAUUUCAAAUUCAUUCUUCACCUCUUCCAAUCAAAAACUCUUAGAAAUUUUCAGAAAUUCACAUUGUUAUUCUUCAAUCUUUUUCAAGAUAUUUUCUACACACUUUCAUAUCAUCCAAAUCAGAAAAUAUUUUGAGCAAUCUAUUACUUUAAAGAAUUGUGAAUUAUUAACAUUGGAAGGGAAGAUCAAUCAAGAGAUUGAUACAUUGUUCUACUAUUCAAACUCUUAUACAAAAUCAAAUACUUGUUGUAUUCUUGUUAUCCAGGAUUGUUGGAAACAAGUUAGACACUUUGAGAGGAUUGUUCUCAUAAGUGGUCUUAGUGAAAAAUCCAAGAGGAUUGUUCUUGGUGUUUGGUUAGGCUUGUACAAGAUACCAUCUAUAUUAAAAUCUCUUACUGCGUAAGGGGACUGGAGUACU